AGAGUUGAUCAUGGCUCAGGAUGAACGCUGGCGGCGUGCCUAACACAUGCAAGUCGAGCGGAGAGCCGUAACGGAAGCCUUCGGGUGGAAGAUGCGGUUACUUAGCGGCGGACGGGUGAGUAACGCGUGGAUAACCUGGCUCAUACAGGGGGAUAACAGAGAGAAAUUUCUGCUAAUACCGCAUAAGCGCACGUAACCGCAUGGUUAUGUGUGAAAAAGCCGAGACGGUAUGAGAUGGAUCCGCGUCCGAUUAGCCAGUUGGCGGGGUAACGGCCCACCAAAGCGACGAUCGGUAGCCGGCCUGAGAGGGCGGACGGCCACAUUGGGACUGAGACACGGCCCAGACUCCUACGGGAGGCAGCAGUGGGGGAUAUUGCACAAUGGAGGGAACUCUGAUGCAGCGACGCCGCGUGGGUGAAGAAGUAUUUCGGUAUGUAAAGCCCUAUCAGCAGGGACGAUAAUGACGGUACCUGACUAAGAAGCCCCGGCUAACUACGUGCCAGCCGCUGC
rnacentral:rRNA from 1 species